rnacentral:lncRNA from 1 species
UAAGUUCAUUAGCUGAUGUAGAAAUGAGAAGGCUCUAACUUGGUGGCAUGACUGAUUAGUUGAUAUUGGGAAAAUUUAAAUCAUCCUGUCCGACCUUCCACAAGUAGUCGGUUAUCCUUGUGAAUAUUUGAAUUUUUCUCUCCCUCUAAUUGCAUAUUUAAGGAGUCAAGUCAAUCGGGGAGAACCAAAAAAAAAAAGUAGCAUCAAAUUUGACAUCUUCUUUUGUUUUG